rnacentral:rRNA from 1 species
AUUGAACGCUGGCGGCAGGCCUAACACAUGCAAGUCGAACGAGUGGCGGACGGGUGAGUAAUGUCUGGGCAACUGCCUGAUGGCGGGGGAUAACUACUGGGAACGGUAGCUAAUACCGCAUACCAUCAGAUGUGCCCAGAUGGGAUUAGCUUCUUGGUGGGGUAACGGCUCACCAAGGCGACGAUCCCUAGCUGGUCUGAGAGGAUGACCAGCAACAUGGGAACUGAGAAACGGUCCAGACUCCUACGGGAGGCAGCAGGGGGAAAUAUUGCACAAUGGGCGCAAGCCGGAUGCAGCCAUGCCGGGUGUAUGAAGAAGGCCUUCGGGUUGUAAAGUACUUUCAGCGGGGAGGCGUUACCCGCAGAAGAAGCACCGGCUAACUCCGUGCCGGCAGCCGCGGUAAUAC